rnacentral:rRNA from 1 species
AUUGAACGCUGGCGGCAUGCCUUACACAUGCAAGUCGAACGGCAGCAUGAUCUAGCUUGCUAGAUUGAUGGCGAGUGGCGAACGGGUGAGUAAUACAUCGGAACGUGCCCUGUAGUGGGGGAUAACUAGUCGAAAGAUUAGCUAAUACCGCAUACGACCUGAGGGUGAAAGUGGGGGACCGCAAGGCCUCAUGCUAUAGGAGCGGCCGAUGUCUGAUUAGCUAGUUGGUGAGGUAAAGGCUCACCAAGGCGACGAGCAGUAGCUGGUCUGAGAGGACGAUCAGCCACACUGGGACUGAGACACGGACCAGACUCCUACGGGAGGCAGCAGUGGGGAAUUUUGGACAAUGGGGGCAACCCUGAUCCAGCAAUGCCGCGUGUGUGAAGAAGGCCUUCGGGUUGUAAAGCACUUUUGUCCGGAAAGAAAUCGCACUUACUAAUAUUAGGUGUGGAUGACGGUACCGGAAGAAUAAGGACCGGCUAACUACGUGCCAGCAGCCGCCGUAAGAC